rnacentral:rRNA from 1 species
CAUGCAGUCGAGCGAUGAAGCUUCCUUCGGGAAGUGGAUUAGCGGCGGACGGGUGAGUAACACGUGGGUAACCUGCCUCAAAGUGGGGGAUAGCCUUCCGAAAGGAAGAUUAAUACCGCAUAACAUAAGAGAAUCGCAUGAUUUUCUUAUCAAAGAUUUAUUGCUUUGAGAUGGACCCGCGGCGCAUUAGCUAGUUGGUAAGGUAACGGCUUACCAAGGCAACGAUGCGUAGCCGACCUGAGAGGGUGAUCGGCCACAUUGGAACUGAGACACGGUCCAGACUCCUACGGGAGGCAGCAGUGGGGAAUAUUGCGCAAUGGGGGAAACCCUGACGCAGCAACGCCGCGUGGGUGAUGAAGGUCUUCGGAUUGUAAAGCCCUGUUUUCUGGGACGAUAAUGACGGUACCAGAGGAGGAAGCCACGGCUAACUACGUGCCAGCAGCCGCGGUAAUACGUAGGUGGCGAGCGUUGUCCGGAUUUACUGGGCGUAAAGGGUGCGUAGGCGGAUGUUUAAGUGGGAUGUGAAAUCCCCGGGCUUAACCUGGGGGCUGCAUUCCAAACUGGAUAUCUAGAGUGCAGGAGAGGAAAGCGGAAUUCCUAGUGUAGCGGUGAAAUGCGUAGAGAUUAGGAAGAACACCAGUGGCGAAGGCGGCUUUCUGGACUGUAACUGACGCUGAGGCACGAAAGCGUGGGUAGCAAACAGGAUUAGAUACCCUGGUAGUCCACGCCGUAAACGAUGGAUACUAGGUGUAGGGGGUAUCAACUCCCCCUGUGCCGCAGUUAACACAAUAAGUAUCCCGCCUGGGGAGUACGGUCGCAAGAUUAAAACUCAAAGGAAUUGACGGGGGCCCGCACAAGCAGCGGAGCAUGUGGUUUAAUUCGAAGCAACGCGAGAACCUUACCUGGACUUGACAUCCCUUGCAUAGCCUAGAG